rnacentral:rRNA from 1 species
ACGGGUGAGUAACACGUGAGUAACCUGCCCUUGACUCUGGGAUAAGCCUGGGAAACUGGGUCUAAUACCGGAUAUGACUGUCUGACGCAUGUCAGGUGGUGGAAAGCUUUUGUGGUUUUGGAUGGACUCGCGGCCUAUCAGCUUGUUGGUGGGGUAAUGGCCUACCAAGGCGACGACGGGUAGCCGGCCUGAGAGGGUGACCGGCCACACUGGGACUGAGACACGGCCCAGACUCCUACGGGAGGCAGCAGUGGGGAAUAUUGCACAAUGGGCGCAAGCCUGAUGCAGCGACGCCGCGUGAGGGAUGACGGCCUUCGGGUUGUAAACCUCUUUCAGUAGGGAAGAAGCGAAAGUGACGGUACCUGCAGAAGAAGCGCCGGCUAACUACGUGCCAGCAGCCGCGGUAAUACGUAGGGCGCAAGCGUUAUCCGGAAUUAUUGGGCGUAAAGAGCUCGUAGGCGGUUUGUCGCGUCUGCUGUGAAAGACCGGGGCUCAACUCCGGUUCUGCAGUGGGUACGGGCAGACUAGAGUGAUGUAGGGGAGACUGGAAUUCCUGGUGUAGCGGUGAAAUGCGCAGAUAUCAGGAGGAACACCGAUGGCGAAGGCAGGUCUCUGGGCAUUAACUGACGCUGAGGAGCGAAAGCAUGGGGAGCGAACAGGAUUAGAUACCCUGGUAGUCCAUGCCGUAAACGUUGGGCACUAGGUGUGGGGGACAUUCCACGUUUUCCGCGCCGUAGCUAACGCAUUAAGUGCCCCGCCUGGGGAGUACGGCCGCAAGGCUAAAACUCAAAGGAAUUGACGGGGGCCCGCACAAGCGGCGGAGCAUGCGGAUUAAUUCGAUGCAACGCGAAGAACCUUACCAAGGCUUGACAUGAACCGGUAAUACCUGGAAACAGGUGCCCCGCUUGCGGUCGGUUUACAGGUGGUGCAUGGUUGUCGUCAGCUCGUGUCGUGAGAUGUUGGGUUAAGUCCCGCAACGAGCGCAACCCUCGUUCUAUGUUGCCAGCGCGUUAUGGCGGGGACUCAUAGGAGACUGCCGGGGUCAACUCGGAGGAAGGUGGGGACGACGUCAAAUCAUCAUGCCCCUUAUGUCUUGGGCUUCACGCAUGCUACAAUGGCCGGUACAAAGGGUUGCGAUACUGUGAGGUGGAGCUAAUCCCAAAAAGCCGGUCUCAGUUCGGAUUGGGGUCUGCAACUCGACCCCAUGAAGUCGGAGUCGCUAGUAAUCGCAGAUCAGCAACGCUGCGGUGAAUACGUUCCCGGGCCUUGUACACACCGCCCGUCAAGUCACGAAAGUUGGUAACA